UGAAGAAGUACUUUGAGCUGGAGCCGCUGGCCAGAGGGAAGCGCUGGGUCCUGGAGGGAAGCUCCACCGACAACCUGGAAGCAGUGAAGGAAAGCUUCGAUGUGCAGCAGGAGAUUCUUCAGCGCUGACGUCCCUGCAGAGGAUCCCUCCUGUCGGGCUUGUGAUCCGAAAGUUCUGUCUCUCGUGUUGCUGCUCUGCGAACAAACCUCCCCCCAUCCCCCCUCACCCCUCUCCAAACCCCUCUGAAUCUGCCUGGUUCACAUACACAAGAUUAAGUAGCACAAGUGACAUCCAAGACCAAUCGGGCCACCCAAGAGAACCGCAACCAGCGGAGAGGCUGUCAGAGCCCCCUUUUGCAACAUUAAUCUUCAAGCCUCUCCUGCACUGCCAACUCACAUCUCCUUCAAACAGGACAGGGAGGUAAAACACGGAACGUUUCCCUCCCUGAAGGUUUUCUCCUCUCCAUCAAUUAACUCUUUGGGGGACAAUUCAUCGUCACCCGCCAUGUGCCAGACAACUUCAAACACUGGCAAAAUGAAUUACUUUUCCAGGCAUUUUUGGAAAACUUGCCUAUAAUUUGGCAACAAGGAGAUUAGUGUGGACAUAAGUUCAAUUCCUAAUCGACCCAAAGGCCUCCACAAAGACAUGUGAGGCAGAAAUCACACUAAGAAUUCUGCUUUAAAGUGAUUUAUGCCAGAGAAAACUACAUUUAACCUGUCUGUCGAGGGCUGUGGAGACAUUUCCCCGGUCUGUUCCAGCCAUUAACAAGAUGUUAACAUUCAGCAGUGGAAUUUAUCUCAAACGUCAGAGGGCUGCUAAAAUAGACAUCCAGGGAUCAGCACGCUAACUGAGCGCUCCACCACGGCUAACCCUUUUGUCUUCUCUGCUGACCAAUAUCAUCUUUGAUCUCUUUCAGGAGGACAUCUCUAUGGUGUGUUUGUGUGGUGGGGGUUAUCCUGACCUAUGGGUGGAUGAGGUGUCAUGUCCAACCUGAUAGGAGUGUGAAUGGGAAAACAAAAAAGAUGAAUACAGCGAUUGAUAAAUAGCGGAACAUGGGUGUGUUUUGCUGUGGAUGCCUUCAGUCCCAGGAGAGGGCCUUCCUAACCCCAACCUUUCUUCUGCCUGAGACCUGAGAAGCAGAGGGGGACGUCGCGCCUUCUAACAGUGAUCCUUUGAAGAGAGCCAUGCUGAAAUCCAGCAGCAUGCGUCAAAUACUUUCUGCCAUAGUUUGGUGAGACAUGGCUGGAACCUUAAAUCUGUAGGAAUACAUCUG